CAGCCGUAAACUAUGCUCGCUAGGUGUCAGGCAUGGCGCGACCGUGUCUGGCGCCGCAGGGAAGCCGUGAAGCGAGCCACCUGGGAAGUACGGCCGCAAGGCUGAAACUUAAAGGAAUUGGUGGGGGAGCACAACAACGGGUGGAGCCUGCGGUUUAAUUGGACUCAACGCCGGACAACUCACCGGGAACGACAGCAAUAUGUAGGCCAGGCUGAAGACCUUGCCUGAAUCGCUGAGAGGAGGUGCAUGGCGUAGACGUCU
rnacentral:rRNA from 1 species